AAGGUUAUAGCUCUGCAGCUGGUUAUGGGAAUGCCUCAAACCCAACAUCAGAUGGCCAGAAUUCUUCAUAUGGUACACAAGGCGAUGGCAGUCAAGCACCUCCACCAGUUCAGUCAUCAGCCACGGGUCAACAAGGUAAUUACCCAUCUCAGGGCUCUACUCAGGCAGGCUAUGGGAUGCCACCAACUUCUCAAGGUGGGUAUGGGACGCCACCACCUGCAGGCUAUGCUGCGAGCUAUGGGGCCCCACAGGCCCAAAAGCCUUCUCCUAGUCAGCCAGCUUAUGGUCAGCCACAGCAGUCUCCUAGCGCACAAGGAGGUUAUGCCCAGCCUCCCCCAGCACAGCCUGGAUAUCCACAGCCAGCUGCUCAAUCAGGUUAUGCGCAGCCUGAUUCUGGCACUCAGCGACCUCCUGCUUCUGGCUAUGGUGCUCCAACAGCUCAGCCUGGUUAUGGUGCCCCACCUUAUGGGGCUCCACCUAGUUAUGGCCAACAGCAGCCACCACCUUACAACAGUGCCUAUGCUGGUGGUUACGCCCAGCCUCCAGCGUAUGCUUCUGAUGGCACAACUCCAGCGUCCCAGUCUGUUCAGCCUAGUGGUGGGGUUGCAAAAGCAUCACCUCAAA
rnacentral:lncRNA from 1 species